ensembl:lncRNA
GUGGGUUUGGGUCGGGGCAGAUCCGUUCGUGUGACACAGCCCCAUACGGGGCCGCCCCACGUGCGCGCACCGCGCUUAAGUAAACAGCCCCGGAGAUACGGAAACGUCUCUGCGGCACUCGGACGGGUUUUCUUUGAUUCGCUCUCAGCGGUAAAAUAAUCAGAGGGGAAAGCAGAGCGGCUCCCGUUGACCUCCGGGGUUCAUUCGCCGGCGCGGCUUCGGAGUGACUCCGAAAGCGGAGUUCGCUUUGGCCGCGGACAGCAGAAAUGCGUUUACUGCGCCGCGACCGAAUGAAAGGAGGGACUCUGUCCUCAGAAACACCGCAUUUCAUUCCCAGUUUGGGUUUUCUUCUUUCCUUUUUCCUCUCGAAAUCUGAAUUUAUUUCGGGUUUUGUGGUUUUUUUUUCAUUCUCUUUCUUUCUUUCUUUUCUCCUUUUCUUUCUUUUCCGUUUUAUUUCUUUUUUUUCCUUCUUCUUCCUUUCCUUUCCCUUCCCUUUCACUUUCCCUUUCCUCUCCCUUUCCUCUCCCUUUCCUUUCCCUUUCUUUCCCUUUCCCUUUCCUUUCCCCUUCCUUUUCAUUUCCCUUUCCUCCCCUUUCCUUUUCCUUCCAUUAUUUCUCUCCUUCUUUCCUUCCUUCUUCCUCUUCCUCUCUUACAUUCAUCUCUUUCUUUCUUUCCUCCCUCCCUCCCUCUCUUUCUUUCUCUCCUCGCACCCUCUCCAUCUUCGCCCCAUUCUUUUUCUCUUCUUCUUCCUCAUAUUCUUUCCCUAUUGUUUCUCUCUCCUCCUUCUCUCCUCUCUCCAUCUCACCCUCCUUCCUCUCCCCUCCCCCCCUCAUUUCCCUCACCCAAUCCUCGCCCCCAAAUUCCCCUUUCCCACCCCAAUCUGAGGGCUUUCCCCCCCCCUGGGGGGUUCCUUUCUGCCCCACCCCACAGCACUUUGCCCCAUUUCUCCACCCCUCCUUUCCCUCCUCAUUAUCCCAUUCCUCUCAUUAUUUUAAGGCCUCACCCCACGAGAUUCGUCCUUCGUGGGGGACACAGCUUAAGGACUGGGGGGGGGGGCACACGUCCUCCUUUGGGAUGCGGGGAGGAAAACUCCCUCUAACCCGCAAUUAGAGGGUUUUAUAGGCUGAUGGGUUUCUGCAAUUAACGCGGAAGUAGUUUGCCUUCCCCCCCCCACACACACCUUUUUUUCUGGCAGCCAUCACCCAGAAGAACCGCACCCUUCCCACUCCCCCCUUCCCCCCCAAAAAAUGGGACCUAAGCAAAUCCCCCAACCCCAAAAAGGCAUUUUGGGGACAAUUUACCUAAAGACGUUUUGGGGAGGAAUGUGCAAGAAUACGCUUUCUAUUCUGUUCUCCAAGUAACCCCAUUUUGUGGGUGCAGUUAUGCCCCCCCACCUUUAUUUUCCUCUCUUUGGGGGGGGGGGGGUCCCUUCCCUCUGCCUCACGUGGCUGAGGGAUGUGCUGGGAUUGCGGUGCGGGGCUUUGCGUGCGCCCACGCGCGGGUGGGAGACCCGGAGACCCCCCUUCUUCGUACCGCACAGCCCCCGGACCCUAAAAUCCUUUUUGGGGCCAUUGAAAGGCGAACCAACAGAGCCCAAAUCCCUUUCUCUUUUUGCUCCUCUCCUUCGCCGGAGGGAGAAGGGAACGGGGAAAUAUUUACCUGCAGACUCGAGCUGACACUUUACAUCUGUGCCCGCUCCUCUCCGCUCUCUGCCUCUGUCGGAACUCAUUCCCCUGUAGAGCUGCGGGGAAAUGGAGAGCUCUGCAAGGAGCCGCGGAUCGCCGGGUCACGCGUGCGGGGAGAAGCGGAGGCAGAACCAGCAGCCACCGCAAACACAACUCUCAGCCAAGAGCACAAAGAGCCCCGACCAUUUCGCGGUGACUGAUUUAUGGCGUUUUACAACCCCAUAAAAAGCUGUAACAACCAGCCAAAAGCCUUCGACACCGCUGGCACAUUUAGUCUAAUAAAUAAAACAUAAACAGUUAACUUUAUGUGUCACUUUUAUUGUUAUCAAGUAAAAUAUGGCAAUGCCUUGCAAGCGAUGAUUUUCAGCUAUAAUUGUUAUCAAGCGCGAGGAGGGAAUACCCCACCUCCCUCCUCUGCCCCUCUCUUUAGUGCCAACCAUAGAUAAACAGCUCUAAUUGGGGGAGCUCCGACCCUCCCCAAAUGUUCACAUCCGCUCGCUGCUCCCUAACCUGCCCGGGGUUGACGCCUGG